rnacentral:lncRNA from 1 species
GGUAAAGUAGCCACUGUUCCAUCUAGUUUUCUGUUCUACCCGUUUUUAAUUUGUUAGAAUUAAAAUAGUAUAAUCUAUUAAUUUGCUUUACUGACUUAAUUUUCUAUCACCAUUUAACAAUGCAUCUAUUGACAAAACAGUUUGGAAGGAACACAGACAGUGCUGUGACUAGAUAAUGUCAAAUUUCUCCCAAGAAGCUAGGCUGUGAACUCCUGCCCUGUAGGGAGUAGUGCAGGGUUCAGUUCAGUGCCCCAGGGCACCAUUCUCAGGGAAUUAUGAGAAAUGUUUGCUGAACUGAAUUCAGUUGACAGGAAAGGCAUGACUCUAAGUAUACAGUUACUGUCUUACUCACGUGUGAUUACUUUCUUCAGAUGACCAAGACCCAAAUCCCACGGGCAUGGGGGUGCACCCUCUCAGAAGGGUGGGGCCAGAAAACUGUAAAUUUGAGUCUUUCCUGCUUGUAUAUUGACACCCAACCUUGCAAAGCCAAAUAAUCAAGAGAAAAACCAACGAACAAAUAAAGAAAGAAUUUAAAUGUCAGGCCCUGGUGAUAUAUGUCUUUAAUCUCAGUCCUAGGGAGGCAGAGUGGUUUGAGAUCAGUCUAGUCUAAAGACUGAGUUCCAGGACAGCCAGGGCUACAUGGAGAAACUCUAUCUGGAAAAACCAAAAAAGGAAAUAAAAUAAGAUAAUAAUG